rnacentral:rRNA from 1 species
UACGUAGGGCGCAAGCGUUGUCCGGAAUUAUUGGGCGUAAAGAGCUCGUAGGCGGCUUGUCACGUCGGGUGUGAAAGCCCGGGGCUUAACCCCGGGUCUGCAUUCGAUACGGGCUAGCUAGAGUGUGGUAGGGGAGAUCGGAAUUCCUGGUGUAGCGGUGAAAUGCGCAGAUAUCAGGAGGAACACCGGUGGCGAAGGCGGGUCUCUGGGCCGUAACUGACGCUGAGGAGCGAAAGCAUGGGGAGCGAACAGG